rnacentral:tRNA from 89 species
CGCGGGGUGGAGCAGUUGGCAGCUCGUCGGGCUCAUAACCCGAAGGUCGCAGGUUCAAGUCCUGCCCCCGCAACCA